UACGUAGGGGGCAAGCGUUGUCCGGAAUCAUUGGGCGUAAAGCGCGCGUAGGCGGUUACUUAAGUCGAAUGUGAAAGCCCUCGGCUUAACUGAGGAAGUGCAUCCGAAACUGAGUAGCUAGAGUACGAAAGAGGGUCGCGGAAUUCCCGGUGUAGAGGUGAAAUUCGUAGAUAUCGGGAGGAACACCGGUGGCGAAGGCGGCGACCUGGGUCGAGACUGACGCUGAGGCGCGAAAGCGUGGGGAGCAAACAGG
rnacentral:rRNA from 1 species